UAGCGGCAGGCUUAAUACAUGCAAGUCGAACGGUAAGUGUUUUAGCAAUAAGACACCAAGAGUGACGUACGGGUGCGUAACACGUAUGCAACCUACCCUUUACAGGAGGAUAGCUCGGGGAAACCCGAAUUAACCCUCCAUAACAUCAUGGUGUGGCAUCACAUUAUGAUUAAAACUCCGGUGGUAAAGGAUGGGCAUGCGUCUGAUUAGUUAGUUGGCGGGGUAACGGCCCACCAAGACGAUGAUCAGUAGGGGACCUGAGAGGGUGAUCCCCCACACUGGCACUGAGAUACGGGCCAGACUCCUACGGGAGGCAGCAGUAGGGAAUAUUGGUCAAUGGAUGCAAGUCUGAACCAGCCAUGCCGCGUGCAGGAAGAAGGCCUUCUGGGUUGUAAACUGCUUUUGCCAGGGGAUAAAAAUCUCAUGCGUGAGAAAUUGAAGGUACCUGGUGAAUAAGCCACGGCUAACUACGUGCCAGCAGCCGCGGUAAUACGUAGGUGGCAAGCGUUGUCCGGAUUUAUCGGGUUUAAAGGGUGCGUAGGCGGCCCUGUAAGUCAGUGGUGAAAUACUCCAGCUUAACUGGAGGGGUGCCAUUGAUACUGCAGGGCUUGAGUACAGAUGAAGUAGGCGGAAUUGACGGUGUAGCGGUGAAAUGCAUAGAUAUCGUCAAGAACUCCGAUAGCGAAGGCAGCUUACUAAGCUGUAACUGACGCUGAGGCACGAAAGUGUGGGGAUCAAACAGGAUUAGAUACCCUGGUAGUCCACACUGUAAACGUUGAUGACUCGAUGUUGGCGAUACACAGCCAGCGUCCAAGAGCAAUCGUUAAGUCAUCCACCUGGGGAGUACGCCGGCAACGGUGAAACUCAAAUGAAUUGACGG
rnacentral:rRNA from 1 species